rnacentral:rRNA from 1 species
UACAGAGGGUGCGAGCGUUGUCCGGAAUCACUGGGCGUAAAGGGCGCGUAGGCGGCUCGGUAAGCGUGCGGUGAAAGCCCGGGGCUCAACCCCGGGUCGGCCGUGCGAACUGCAGAGCUGGAGCACUGUAGAGGCAGGUGGAAUUCCGGGUGUAGCGGUGGAAUGCGUAGAGAUCCGGAAGAACACCGGUGGCGAAGGCGGCGUCCUGGACCAACACUGACACUGAGGAGCGAAAGCCAGGGGAGCAAACGGG